CUGAGCAUGUGGGUAACAGUUUAAGUCCGAGGCUAAUGCCUCACCAAACAAAGCAGGAGAAUUCUUGAAUCCCUCUGAUAGUCGGGUCCAGGUCAGCUGUCCUUUUUGUCCUGUUUCUGGAUCUUCCCAUUCAAAGGCGAAAAGUGGCUGACUCACUGGGGCAACUUGAAGGCAGAAGAACGCAUCUUUCAAAUCUAGCCUGCAGGGUGUGAAGAAAAAAGCGACAGCAGUGAAUAAAGGACCCACCGGGCCUGAUCCACACCAUGCGAGUGGCUGAAAGUGAAGCAGCAUCCUUUUAAAUGGUCCUAGGGUCAAAAAAGCCUCCAGGGAAAUAAAAGUACAUUAAAGGAAGUAAAAAUAAAAUGCAACAAACCACUCUGUGCUGUCACAGGCCAGAGCCACCCCGAGAAGAGCGUGCGGCUCGCACAUGGCUGUCAGAGUCGGGGUCUCCACGGAAGCAACCCACGGCCCAGCGCACCGGAGUGGGAAGAACCUGGAGGAGAGCUCAGGAGGCCUGCACUGGCGCCCGGGUUCCAGUGACGACCGGCCGGGGGGCCGAGGGUCAGCCCCCCAACCCUCUGCACCCCAGCCUCCUCCUCUGCUGUGAGUGCUUCCCAGGGCUUUGGGAGCCACCAAGAACUAAGGCACAUGAGCUGGCAUGACGGUGACACAGUCCUGUGAUUUCAGCACUAUGGGAAGCUGAGGCAGGAGGAUCAUGUUUGAGCCCAGCCUGGGCAACUUAGUGACUUAUGGUAGCAAAAUUCUGUCUCAAAAUUUAAAAAGAAGAAGGAGACGUUGAGGUCGUUACCAUCCAGCAUUUCCACUCCUGGCUUCCUUAUCCUGAGAAACUGUACGGGACUCAUGGCGUUGGAGACAACUUAGGUGUCUGUCCCUAGGGGAGCGGGAAUUAAACACGGCACCUUCACACACGGCAAGACAAAGCUGCAACUGGAAAUAUGCUCACUGCAUAGUUGUGACAAUAUAGUUAUAUAUAUUACAUAGAAUAUAUUGUGCUGAGUUAAAAAUACUUGUAUUGGCACUGUAUUUCCGGCAGAGCGUCAUUUAUGUCAAGUAAACACACGCACCUGCCGGGUUUUAAAAAAAAUACAAAGAUUUCAAUUUAUUGGGAUUUCAAUUUAAUUUUAUUUAUUUAUUUAUUCAAUUUUUUUGUAUUGAUGGAAGUUUUAUUUCAAAUGUAGUAAAUAGUCUUCAGUAGAUGGGAUGAAAUAAAGAUUGUUUUCCUCCUGCUCCCCAAGCCCCCAGCCAUAUGAAGUGGCUUUGGCUGUGGCUUUUUUCUCCCCCUCAAAUACAGUCAACUCAGGGAAGGUAGUAAGUGCAGUGGGAAGGAGCACUUGAUGGAAUAGUAAAAUGUAGGCGUGUAUAACUUUUCAGUUUGGGAGGAAGGCCCUUACCAUAAUAAAAAUAAAGCAAGGGAGGGAAAACAAAUAAAAA